AUUUAUUAUUGUUGUGGCACUAAUGCCACGUCCUGGGAGAGGCUUUGAGUCCAUGUGUCAAGGUCGUCAAUGGUGUCGGGAGCUGAAGUUCGAAUCUGGCGGAAUUUAUCCCAGUUUACAAUUUCUAUCGGGCGUCGAGUAGAUCGAGCCAGUGUGCUGAGCUGAAUUUCUGUAUUUAUGACGUAGUGGUCGCUCCCGAAGGAGUUGUAUGUGUUGGUCCAGCGACUGUGUGCUAUGUUCUUAGUGAAAGUGAGGUCUGGACUGGUGUUAAGUUGGGCACUGUUGCCUAUUCUAGUUGGGUGGUCUAGAUCAUUGAUGAGGGAUAGGCCCUCAUUCUGAAUGAAUGUCCAAAGCGCGGUGCCCUUUCUGCAGUUCUUCUUGUAGCCCCAACUCAUGUGGUUGGCGUUGAAGUCACCGACCACUAUAAGGGGGUGUGUGCUGCUGAUGGAAAGGGCCUUUCGAAGAGCUGUUAGGAGAGGGGCUGCGGGGCCUUUGGGCGGGCUGUAUAUAUUGAGAACGAAUAGGCUGCCGCCUUUGCGAGUACUCGGGAGAAGCUCGACAAGAUGGCUGUCUAUAUCGUUCACUUCGAGGGGGUGGUCCGUAGCCGUUAGGUUACGAUGGACCAGUAUGGCAACCCGUGGCGCCGUCUUUCCUUCCGGUUC
rnacentral:lncRNA from 1 species